CGGGGCGUGGCGCAGUCUGGUAGCGCGCACGGCUGGGGGCCGUGAGGUCGCUGGUUCAAGUCCAGUCGCCCCGACCA
rnacentral:tRNA from 1 species